AAACAGGAAGCUUGCAUGGACACUGGAGUCCAUUAGAUUAGAGAGCUUGUACUCCUGCAUUUCCAAUGACUUAGAGGCAAUCUGCAGUUGCUACAUUUAUUUUUGACUUAUAAGUUAAAGAUAUAUACCUAUUGUUUCUUGAAGAAUAUAACUUAUCCUUAUGAGCUUAGUUCAACUGUUGUACCACAUCAGAACCCAAAAUAUAAGCUUGUUUUACUCCAAUAUUUGUAAAAAAAGAAGAAAUAUAAACACACUUUAUAAACUCAAAACAUAAUUUUGAUAUCAUGGAUCAGUCCUUGUAUCCAUAGCUCUGUCUAUGAAUUUGAAAGUUGUUACAUUUCUCCAUUCCUCAUCUUUUUACCAAAACAGUGGUGGGGUGCCUGCUUUGUUAAUGUUUCAACUGCGGACUGGCUCUUUAAAUCUAAUAAUGUAGAGAGUCAGGCGUUUGCGUGUGUGUGGUUCAGAGUUUUCGUCCACCUCUGACUCAGGAGAAGGUAACUGAGAAAGCAUUUUGCAUAUGAGUACAAUGUAAAACCUUAACGGUUAUCAAUGUGGAUGUAAACAGUAGCUGCACUGCAUUAACACUGAAAACUCAAAGAAUUUGAUUCUCGUUUUGCCUAAUAAAUUGUUGUAGAACCAAUGUGAAAGACAAACUAGAUUUUGUGGACUUUAGCUUACUAGAAAGUGUUGAGGUUGUGUUGUGUUUGAGUAGUGAUCACCCUUUUGCUUCCAUGUCUGUGGGACUGCAUCUCACUGCAUGCAGUUUUAGACAUUGAUCAGGAGUUGCCUGACACUGGUAUUGCCCUGAUGCUCUUUGGGAUAUGUAACGGUAUGUUUAUUAUAUCCUGAAUUACGCUGUGGAAGGCCUAAACUUUGCAAGGGAUUCUUCCCUUAAAUAAUGUUUGUUUCCCUCCCAUUCUUAAAAUGUCCUGUUGUCCUGAUAGUUGAGUUCCUAUGUUUCUGUUCUUUGUUGGCCUCACAUGUAGUCUACACUCUUAUGAAAGAGAUGAGCUAGCAAGGUGAACUGAAGAUGCCUUUAGUGCAUCAACAACCACCCAACAUCCCAACUAACUUGAUUUAACAUUCCCCUGGGCCUACGGUAUCGGAGGAUGUUUUGUAAGCAUGGCCAGGAUUGUUGGGAACUCCUGUGAGAGGCAGGAGUGCAACUCUGCAAAAUUGCAUGUAGGAGGUAAUAAACGUCCAUUAUCAUUCAAAGUGAUGAUACUUUGGUAUAACUUACAGUAUGGAAAAAGCAUGCCACAAUACUACUCCAUACACUGGUUCUACUAAACAAAACUACAGUAUGUUGAUCUUUUUGAUAAAAAAAUGUUUUGCAUGGGACCAGCAGACUUUGUAUAAGUAUGAUUAGUUAUAUAACUAUAUAUUUACAAUAAACUUAACAUGGAAGC
rnacentral:lncRNA from 1 species